CUCAGAAUGAACACGAGGGCCCCUGCUGAGUUCCUUGGGUUCCUGUUGCUCUGGUUUUUAGGUGCCAGAUGUGAUGUCCAGAUGAUUCAGUCUCCAUCCUCCCUGUCUGCAUCUUUGGGAGACAUAGUCACCAUGACUUGCCAGGCAAGUCAGGGCACUAGCAUUAAUUUAAACUGGUUUCAGCAAAAACCAGGGAAAGCUCCUAAGCUCCUGAUCUAUGGUGCAAGCAACUUGGAAGAUGGGGUCCCAUCAAGGUUCAGUGGCAGUAGAUAUGGGACAGAUUUCACUCUCACCAUCAGCAGCCUG
rnacentral:lncRNA from 1 species